rnacentral:rRNA from 1 species
ACUCAAAUGAAUUGACGGGGGCCCGCACAAGCGGUGGAGCAUGUGCAUUAAUUCGUCACUAACCGAAGAACCUUACCAGGGUUUGACAUCCUCGGACAUGCCAUGAAAGUGGUCCUUUCUCGCAAGAGAACCGAGAGACAGGUGUUGCAUGGUUGUCGUCAGCUCGUGUCGUGAGAUGUUGGGUUAAGUCCCGCAACGAGCGCAACCCUCACCCAAUGUUGCCAGCGUGAAAGACGGGAACUCUUUGGGAACUGCCCGUGUAAGCGGGAGGAAGGUGGGGAUGACGUCAAAUCGGCAUGGCCCUUACAUCCUGGGCUUGACACAUGCUACAAUGGCCGUUAACAAAGGGACGCAAUACCGCGAGGUGGAGCCAAUCUCAAAAAUACGGUCUCAGUUCAGAUUGCAGGCUGCAACUCGCCUGCAUGAAGUCGGAAUCGCUAGUAACCGCAGGUCAGCUAAACUGCGGUGAAUACGUUCCCGGGCCUUGUACACACCGCCCGU